GAAGGCGGGCUGAGCCCGGCGCCGGGAGGAGUGGUCUAAACUCCACCGCGGCUUUCGCAUCGGAGACGUGUCUUUAGGAAGCAGAGAGGGUUCGAUUCUGGACUCCGCCCAUGACUCACUUCUCUUGUAAAGAAAGAGUUGUCCUUCCUGGUACUCCAGGUUUAUGGGAUGCAGGAUAAUGGAGCAUGCUCUAUCUGGGACAUUGCUAGUCUUAUGACAGAGGGAGAAGACAGCGAUGAGUUUUCGAAGAACUCCAGGAAGUGGCUGCAGAGCAAAGUAGGAUCCUGAUACUGGUUUUCUUCAGUGUCGAAAUUGGUAUGGAGACGUGGAUGGAGAUUUGAGUCUUAGGAAUUUGGGAAGAGCUCAAGUGAUUCAGAAUGAAAAGACCUUGGCACAGACCUGUUAAGGAAGCUCCAUAUAAGGUGAAGAAAACAACAUGCUCAGCCAUGUCCUUGCCUUCUGCACACGGUAGUGCAUUCACUGCCUGAGAAUUCAAGGCUAAAACAAAAAGAGGAGCUUUUGUUCCAACAGAUAAGUACUUACCUUUUUCAAAAAAUGCAUAAGCUGUCCUGGGUGUUUAGCAGUUAUUCGCACAGCUUUCCAAAGACUCACAGCAUUUAAAAGCUAACUCUACAGAGAUUCAACAGCUUCUUCCAGAUCCCACCACAGUGGAAAAGAACUCCGGUGUCCUGGCUCCCUGUCCAGCUCUUCUCUCUCCCCUUCCAGCUGCCAGUUCAGCUUUAAGAAGUUCAUUCUCCACAUUCAGAUGCAGGCAAAUGCGUUUGACUUGAGCAUAUUGAUUUCAGGCAGGUGAGAGUGGAUGUAGCGAUUCAGCUUGACAAAUAUUUAGAUCAGUUAAGUGUCCUUUAUAAAGAAGCACUUGAACUCAGUGUUUCCUUUACCCGACCAUUUCACUCCACAAGCUACCUCCCCAGCAUAAAAUAUUCAAAUUAUUUCUAAAUUUCAUCUACUGAAAAAAUACUUCUAGGCCCUAUAGCUACAUGAUAUCUCCACUGGGAGCCCUGUCCUUUCCAUGCCCUGGGAAAACCCGAUCUAAAGCAGAUUUAAAUGACUCAGCAGUAGGACUCAGGUCUCUGUCUCUGCCUGCUUACUUGGGGAGUGCUCCAGCCUUAGGGGCUCUCUUGCACUCCAACAUAGGAAAGAAAUUAUCGAUGGCUCCAUUCCCCAGCAUUUGAGACUUUUCUUCCCACAGACACAUUCCUGAGGACACCAGUCAUGGGUAAAGAACUCCACUGGGGUCAGCGUUGGAUCCCACUAGGCAGUUUAGGACUUGUAAGUAGAGUAGUGUGGACUUGGUGUUCCCAGAGCCUCUCACUCAUGAUUCAUGGCUCUCCACCCCAAGCAUCGGAACUUGCCCAACUUCACCACAGAAGGAAACAGACUGUAAGCUUGGAGGGCCAGGGAGGAAACCGGAGGCAUGUGUGGGAGGAUUAGAAACAUGAAAAGAUAUUUACAGUAAGGUUCGCUUGUCAUCCUCUUGAACUGGGGGUGCAUAGAGUACAAUAAGACCCCAUGUGAGUAUGUUAGAUGAUAAGGCUCAGGUUGGAUGGGUGUGUAGAGUAAAGGCUUUGCAUCACCUUUGCCAGGGUGAGGGAAGGCUAUGGAUAGCACAGGGGACCUUGAUGAUCGGGUGAGGGAGCCCAUGUGGACAUAGUGGUCACCAGCUACUUCCUAGUUCUCUACAUGGGAGAAAGAGCCCUUCUCUGUAAUCAUGGAAGCUCAAGUUCUUGGUGGUUCAGAGGUUAGAGACCUCUGAUUACUAGGACAGAGCAGAAUAGCAGGGCUGGUCCUGGUAGAUCAGACAUCUCAUGACAUCCUUUAAAAGGGACUAGAAUAUUCAGAACUCCGGUGUAACUAAAUGAUCCUCAAGCUUUACCAGCAGGUGAGCAAGGUCCCAUUGUAUUUGGUACUCACAUCCCCACCAAUUCUGUAAAAGUUUGCCAACUUUCCCCUCCAUCCCCUGCACCCUUUCACCAAAAGAUAUGCCUAAGAGUUCCCAAGAGACGUCUAACAUAGGCCUGCAUGUCAGCCCAGUCUUCUGGGCUGAGCUGCUGCACUGUUGCUGGCCUUGAUGGCUGAACCUGAUCUCUGUUGUGGCACCCACCACUCUUUCUCAAGCCUUGACACCUUGGCAGGCUUUGGCAAAAAGAGGAGAGCUGUUCUUCCUCGGCAUUAUGUUCACUUAGCAGGGUCCCACAGCAGGAUUGCUUGGACCCCAGAGUAUUGUAGGGCUUAAUAAGACCAGCCCUUUCAUCUCACACGCUCUAUCCUUUCUCUCACUGGUGCACCCACGUCAGGUGUCUUGAGUGGGGAGUGCUCGAAUAUCUGCCACCAGCUUGAGUCAGAACCUCGACUUCCCUCAGCUUUUCAGGGUCUGUUACUGAGUCUGGUCCACACUCCAGGGUCUUUUCCUCA
rnacentral:lncRNA from 10 species